CUACGUCCGGAAAGGAUAAACGCUGAAAGCAUCUAAGCGUGAAACCAGCCUUAAGAUGAGGUCUGUGAUUCGUAAGAAGUAAGGCCCCUUAUAGAUGAUAAGGUAGAUAGGCCAGAUGUGGAAGUGGAGUAAUCCAUGGAGCUGACUGGUACUAAUAGGCCGAGCACUUGACUUAA
rnacentral:rRNA from 1 species